GGUAGCUUCCGUGGCUUUGUUUAAAGGAAAAAAGAACAAGAACAGACUCGGGUCCUACGCACAGUCCUUAUCCCGGUCCCUGGCAGUAGUGAGCAUCAUGGCUGGUUUCCGCAGCUGCCUCCAGCGCGCACCUGGGGCCGGAGUCCCCUGUGAUCCUAGCAGGCUCUGAGCCAUCUCUAGGGACGCUUGCAGGGGAAGUGACAAAGUGACUGAAAGACUCACUGGGCUGGACUCAGCAAAGAGAGGUGGCUGGGCAGGGACUACACAAACUCUCUCCACCUCACCCCCAGUGAGAACCUGCAGCUAUGGAGUCUCCAACAAAGGAAAUUGAAGAAUUCGAGAGCAACUCUCUGAAACACCUGCAACCCGAGCAGAUCGAAAAAAUCUGGCUUCGGCUCCGCGGGCUGAGGAAAUAUAAGAAAACGUCCCAGAGGUAAGCACAUCUUUCUGGGAGAGAAGAACCUUCUGGGCUAUGGUUGGCUGAGCUGUGAUUCAGCUCUUCCCAGCUUUGGCCUGUGGUACACUGGAAUUGUAAUAAACAGUCCUUGAGCUCUCA